rnacentral:lncRNA from 1 species
AGUCACUGCAGUAGCUUUGUCUUUCAUACGGUGAAGAUGAGAUUUCCUCAUGUUUAGGAAAUUUUUCAAAAAAUUGCUGACAUAGCUGGAGUUAAUUGCCAAGUAUCCUGUAGGGGCAGUACAAAUCAGAAUUUGCAUCACAAGGAAAAUAGGUGUACACCGUUGGCGGGAGUUCGUGUUCAUCUGACAACUGCAGUACUUGGCAGACAAGUGCAGUAAACUUGGUGGCAAGCAGCAGAGAAAAUAUCCUGCAAUGUUCUGCUGGAAGAAGCAAAAUAGAACGGAAUCAAUCAUCUUUUCAAUGAGAGUUUGAGUGAGAAAGCAGCAAGUUAUCAGACAUAGGGACAGAAGGGGAAGAUGAAGAUAGCCUUCUUGCUCCAUAAGAAGAGGGAGGUGAAGCGGCAAAGAAGACAGGAAGGCUGAUUCAGGAAGAUAACACAGCAGUUUACAACAUGGAGGACAAGAAAUCCUUGAAGGUAAGAAGUAGUUCUUGCAUGACCAGUGGCUAUCACCAUACAUCCGCUACUGCACAGGAAGCCAAAUUAUUGUGCUUGCCUGUCCUUGGAAGCAGUGGUAGAUCUUUUGGCCCACGAGCUGCUUCAUAUUCCACCAGCAUCUCAAAAUAUACAGGAGACAUUAAAAAAAAGAUAAUAUCUACAUGUUUGGCUACCAGAACUCCAGUUUGCAUUGGAUCGCUCUUGGAAUCACAAGCUUUGCAUUUGGAAGUACUACAUAAUGAGAUAUAUCCUUUGUAUGUAAUAUACUUAUCUCAUGUGGCCAUUCAUCUGUCUCCUCAAAGUGAUUAA